UGGGGAAUAUUGGACAAUGGGCGAAAGCCUGAUCCAGCCAUGCCGCGUGUGUGAAGAAGGUCUUCGGAUUGUAAAGCACUUUAAGUUGGGAGGAAGGGCAGUAAGCGAAUACCUUGCUGUUUUGACGUUACCGACAGAAUAAGCACCGGCUAACUCUGUGCCAGCAGCCGCGGUAAUACAGAGGGUGCAAGCGUUAAUCGGAAUUACUGGGCGUAAAGCGCGCGUAGGUGGUUCGUUAAGUUGAAUGUGAAAGCCCCGGGCUCAACCUGGGAACUGCAUCCAAAACUGGCGAGCUAGAGUAGGGCAGAGGGUGGUGGAAUUUCCUGUGUAGCGGUGAAAUGCGUAGAUAUAGGAAGGAACACCAGUGGCGAAGGCGACCACCUGGGCUCAUACCGACACUGAGGUGCGAAAGCGUGGGGAGCAAACAGG
rnacentral:rRNA from 1 species